GGGCAUUACAAGAAAGACUGUCCCGAAUUCUUGAAAAUGAUAAUGGCAAAGAAAGGGAUUCCGUUCGACGAGGACUACGCAAAGAAGCGAAAGACACGUUAAAGUCGCAAAUGGAGUCCAAGCAGAUGUUGAAGCCGUUGGCGACCUUCCUCUGGAGCUUGCUGAUGGAUUCACAUUAAUUCUUAGAGAUGUGCUUUAUGUUCCCUCUUUACAGAGGAAUUUGAUUAGUGUUUCAUGUUUGGACAAUGAUGGAUAUGAUUGCCAUUUUGGAAAUGGCAAAUGUAAGAUAACAUUCAAUAAUGCAUGUGUUGGGAUUGCUAUCUUACAAAAUGA